rnacentral:rRNA from 1 species
GAUGAACGCUAGCGGCAGGCUUAAUACAUGCAAGUCGAGGGGCAUCAAGGUACACGAAAGUGUAUUGUUGGCGACCGGCGGACGGGUGAGUAAUAGGUAGGUAACCUACCUCAUACUGAGGCAUAGCUGGGAGAAAUUCCAGGUAAUUCCUCAUGAGGUUAUAUGACACAUGUGAUAUAAUCAAAGGUAUCGCAAGGUACUGGUAUGAGAUGGGCUUACUGACCAUUAGCUAGUUGGUGAGAUAAGAGCUCACCAAGGCGAAGAUGGUUAGGGGUUUGAGAGAGAGAUCCCCAAUUGGAACUGAGAUACGGUCCAGACUCCUACGGGAGCAGCAGUAGGGAAUAUUGGGCAAUGGGCGGAAGCCUGACCCAGCCAUGCCGCGUGAAGGAGACGGCCUUAUGGGUUGUAAACUUCUUUACUAUGCGACUAACUAGAUUUACGAGAUAAUUCUAUAGAAUGUAGCAUAGAAAAGCACCGGUA